rnacentral:rRNA from 1 species
GCUCAGGACGAACGCUGGCGGCGUGCUUAACACAUGCAAGUCGAACGGGAAACCUUUUAUUGAAGCUUCGGCAGAUUUAGCUGGUUUCUAGUGGCGGACGGGUGAGUAACGCGUGGGUAACCUGCCUUAUACAGGGGGAUAACAACCAGAAAUGGUUGCUAAUACCGCAUAAGCGCACAGGACCGCAUGGUCCGGUGUGAAAAACUCCGGUGGUAUAAGAUGGACCCGCGUUGGAUUAGCUAGUUGGCAGGGUAACGGCCUACCAAGGCGACGAUCCAUAGCCGGCCUGAGAGGGUGAACGGCCACAUUGGGACUGAGACACGGCCCAGACUCCUACGGGAGGCAGCAGUA